rnacentral:rRNA from 1 species
AACGAACGCUGGCGGCAGGCCCAACACAUGCAAGUCGAACGCCGUAGCAAUACGGAGUGGCAGACGGGUGAGUAACGCGUGGGAACAUGCCCUUUGGUUCGGAAUAACUCAGGGAAACUUGAGCUAAUACCGGAUAAGCCCGUGAGGGGAAAGAUUUAUCGCCGAAGGAUUGGCCCGCGUCCGAUUAGCUAGUUGGUGAGGUAACGGCUCACCAAGGCGACGUUCGGUAGCUGGUCUGAGAGGAUGAUCAGCCACACUGGGACUGAGACACGGCCCAGACUCCUACGGGAGGCAGCAGUGGGGAAUAUUGGACAAUGGGGGCAACCCUGAUCCAGCCAUGCCGCGUGAGUGAUGACGGCCUUAGGGUUGUAAAGCUCUUUUCUCCGGGACGAUAAUGACGGUACCGGAGGAAUAAGCCCCGGCUAACUUCGUGCCAGCCGCCGCCGUAACAC